CUUCUUAACCGCAGUAUUGCAGAAUAUCAGUCUAAAAGGGCUUGUGACUGUGAGGCUAGCGCAUAUGAGCUGACGUCAUGCUCGGCGGGCUUUUUUUUCAACUUUAUUGAUAACGGUCAAAUUCCAACAGCAACACAAAUAAGUUUGAAUAACAAAAGUAGGAAACAAAGUGCCAGGGAAUUCAGUUCUGACAUUAAAAAAAUAAUUUGACAAAAACAUCUGGGAAAGGGGAUUGUGCAAGAAGCUUUUUACAUUCAAUAAAAACAAAAUAAUACAUAGGAAAAGUAAAACAUAAGUACAUUUAAGGGGUAUAGACUAAUAAUUAGGUAACAUAAGUCGAUCAUUUUAUGUUUCAAAUAUUGUUUGAGUCUUUUGCUGCUCAACUUGACUAGAGUAUUGUAAUAUAGGUUAAUAUCGAUUAGAAAUAAGGUAAAGUUUCAUUUUAGGAAUUUGCAAAAAUGAUAAACAGUUGGAUUAAAAAGCAAAUGUACUGGUUUCAUAUUGUUUUUUUAUAAUAUCUAAACAAAGACAAAUUUCAAUUCAUGUUUGCAUUUAUGUUACUUGUCAUAUGUAAUUAUGCAUAUAGAUUAGAUGAAACCUUUUUAUGAAUUUUACCAAUUACAGGCCUGAUAGUGGGAGAGUGUUAAUAAAAAUGAUACUAUAAACAGAUUUCCAACAUACUUUUUUAUCUUGUUUUUGUGUUGUUGAUGUAUUCAGCUCCCAUAUUUAUUGAUUCCUUGUAUGUGUUUUAUUUAGGGUUAUACCCCAUUGUGGCUGUUAGAAUUAGUUUUCAGGCAGAUGCAAAUAUACUUAAAAGUCUUAUGAGCUUGUUGAAGGCAACUGUGCAGAAAUUGUCGUCCUGGAUCCAGAUGUGCUGACGGAUUACCACCCACUAGAAGCAUACUCAGUUGGUGGAAAGGUGAUGGUGACCGCAAGAACAUUCAUUCUCCAUUAAAGAAACACAAAAUGACUUUGUUACUUAGGGUAGUUGUCUCCUCCAAACAUGCCCGGCGAAUCCAGCUUCCUGAAGUACCAGGAUCUGUGGCCCAACUGAUUGAUGAACUUAAAGAGAAACUUCAACUUGAAGACAUCGGACAUUGUGUCUCACCGAAAGACAGCAGCACUGAGAGGCCUGCCCAUUUUUGUCCGGGAAGACACAACCAAGUUUCUUCUGGAGUGUUUGGACACUGACCAGGAAGAAAGAGUGGUCAGAGGUGUGUCUGUGGGCAUCCUCACCGUCAUUGAAGAUGAUAAUGCCGCCAUAUCACCAAAUGUGCGAGACGUGGCUGUUGUGUUGGAAGGGACCAUUGUACUGCAUGACCUACCAGACCUCUCUACUGCCUUUGCAUACCUCUUUGGCUUACUGUAUGCCAUGAACAUUGAUUAUCCAAAGGAGAUGAGGUAUACUUUUGAAGCAAUUCAGACUAUCUUUUACGAGCUUGGCUCUCGAUGCUCGCAGCGCAUAAGGUCUCUGAAAACAAAGCUUUUGCUGUGAAUUAAUGGGGAAGCCAGACAUGACUUUAACCUAUGUUUCGCCUGUUCCAGUGCAUUGUGGUUAGUGCUCAUGUAAAACUUCACAACAUUCAUUUCAUUUUAAGCAUAUAAGUCACCUUCUGUUCUGAAAUAGAGAAUCACAGAAUUUGUGGUAGUGGAAGUUGCCAGUUCACAAGAGGGGCAUAUCCAGUGUUUCAACUGUUCAAGUUCAUUGCUGUGAUCAGGUAAAACUUCAAUGUAUGUACAUGUUUGCACAUGCAGUCAUUUUAAGCAUGCAAGUCCCAUUUGCCAUUUGCAAAUAUGUUGAAUUGUGAGUUGCCAGUUGACAAGAGGCACUGGAUUUUAAUUUUUUGUUUUGUUUUAUUCUUUAAAAAAUAUACAGUGCCAGUUCACAGGCGCAUAAAAAAAUGUUUGUAGAACUGUUCAGAACCUAUGCUUUACAAGAAGAAUAAAUAAGAUUUCAGCUAA